UGGAAAGUUUGAUCCUGGCUCAGGACGAACGCUGGCGGCGUGCUUAACACAUGCAAAUCGAACGGAAAGGCCCGCUUCGGUGGGUGCUCGAAUGGCGAACGGGUGAAUAACACGUGGGUGAUCUGCCCUGCACUUCGGGAUAAGCUUGGGAAACUGGGUCUAAUACCGGAUAGGACCAUGGGAUGCAUGUCCUGUGGUGGAAAGCCUUUUGCGGUGUGGGAUGGGCCCGCGGCCUAUCAGCUUGUUGGUGGGGUGAUGGCCUACCAAGGCGACGACGGGUAGCCGGCCUGAGAGGGUGUCCGGCCACACUGGGACUGAGAUACGGCCCAGACUCCUACGGGAGGCAGCAGUGGGGAAUAUUGCACAAUGGGCGCAAGCCUGAUGCAGCGACGCCGCGUGGGGGAUGACGGCCUUCGGGUUGUAAACCUCUUUCACCAUCGACGAAGCUGCCGGUUUUCCGGUGGGACGGUAGGGGAGAAGAAGCACCGGCCAACUAAU
rnacentral:rRNA from 1 species